rnacentral:lncRNA from 1 species
GAUUUACAUACUAUUUUUUCGAUGCACAACUUAUAACACACUCUUCUACUUGCUUCGAUAUAACAUAAAUGUAGUAUAUAACUAUCUAUCUCAUAUGAUUUAGGAUAAUAUUCAAAUAUAUUACAUAUAUAAAUAAAUGAACUUAAUUAGUUUUAUCUAAAUUAUAAUUUUUAAAAUGGAAUUCAAUUCUAACGAAACAAACGGGGCCUUAUAGAUUAUGGGAUGCUACUUAAAACAUGCACGGUAAGGUACUGCAGACACAAUACAGUUACUUUCUUACAUAAAAGACAUCAACCGAGCCCAGAAAGCAAACGCAGCGGCAACUACCACCGCGGCAACACACCUAACCGUACUACUAUUGUACUCCUGCAAGAAGAGGAGACGAGUGCACGUCGCAUCGCUCGCCUAGGAGCUGGUGAACUUGGUGACGGCUUUGGUGCCCUCGGAGACGGCGUGCUUGGCGAGCUCGCCGGGGAGGACGAGGCGAACGGAGGUCUGGAUCUCGCGGGACGUAAUGGUAGGCUUCUUGUUGUACCGCGCCAGCUUGGCCGCCUCCGCCGCCAGCUUCUCGAAGAUGUCGUUGAUGAAGGAGUUCAUGAU